rnacentral:lncRNA from 1 species
CAGAAUAAGUUUUCAGAUUUCACUUAGCCUGUAUGAUUUGAGAAUAAGAACAUGAUACAGAUUUCAGAACUAAGUGUAAUGGCUCACAAGAUUUACAUUAUAUGUUUUAUUAUUUAUGGUUGAUGAUCUUCAGAUUUCAGAUUUACUCAAGCCUGUGUGAGUCAUUUACAUUUAGCAUGCAUGAUUUUAUAAUUUGUGAUGAUAUUGUUUACUUAUUGCAUUCCCCCCCAUAUACUCAG